rnacentral:rRNA from 1 species
GUCGUAACAAGGUUUCCGUAGGUGAACCUGCGNAAGGAUCAUUAAUG